AUGUUUGAAAAAAUCAGAGAAGAGGGAGAUAUCAAAGGUAACAAAAAAUGAUAUAUACCCCCAUUGUUUUAGCAAGAAGCCUUUGAUAUCUCUCUCUUCUCUGAUUUUUUUCAAACAUU